CGGACGGGUGAGUAACGCGUGGGUAACCUGCCUCACACAGGGGGAUAACAGUUGGAAACGGCUGCUAAUACCGCAUAAGCGCACAGUACCGCAUGGUACGGUGUGAAAAACUCCGGUGGUGUGAGAUGGACCCGCGUCUGAUUAGCUAGUUGGCAGGGCAGCGGCCUACCAAGGCGACGAUCAGUAGCCGACCUGAGAGGGUGACCGGCCACAUUGGGACUGAGACACGGCCCAA
rnacentral:rRNA from 1 species